GACACUCUUUCUGAAGACCAGCAAACUGGCUUAUAAGUUUUUGGCUGACUUAAUAUGUGAGCUGACAGAAUGCAGAGACGACCACGUUGUAUGUGAAGCAUCCACUUUGCCUUGUACACCAGGGCAUUCAAUAACCACUUAAUAACUACAACCCUGAUGAUCCGAUUCACUACUAAAGUCUUCCGUGUUUAAAUUUUCAAAGUCAGAUUCUCCUACAGCAAUUGGCCCAAUUCCCCUUACUAGAGGCAACCACUGCUACUUAUCUCCCAUAUAUAUUUCCAGGAGUGAUGGUGAGGAGGAAUUGUGCCAGCUUGCUUCUUCACUGCCAUUUUGGAACCAGAACUCAGAACCUGAGAAAGAUGAAUGAAAUUUAGUGUUUCCCAUCCCCGAGAGACACCCAGCAUCCACAACUUCACACUCUGAUGCCAUUGUGUAUUUAUGCAAGGAAUACCAUAACUAAGAUGAGGUCUCGCUAUGUUGCCUAGGCUAGUCUUGAACUCCUGGCCUCAAGUGAUCCUUUUGCCUCAGCAUCCGGAGUCACUGGGAUUAAAGGCAUGAGCCACCGUGCUCAGAAUACAAACAAAGACCCAUUUUUCUAGAAGAAGUAACGGGGAAGACAGAGUAAGAAAGAGAUAAUGAUGAACAUUGUCUAAUGUUACAGCAUAAUCUAGUAAGGAACUUGACAUCAUCAGACAGUAAAUCAAGAGGUACUGACAACUGAGACUGAGUGAUGGUCCCUGCCUAGGAUUUGGAAUCUUUGCAUGAAAUAGGGACUCUAGCCACCAGCGACAAAGAAGUCAGGGAGACUGU
rnacentral:antisense_RNA from 1 species